ensembl:lncRNA
ACACACAUAUACAUAUAUACAUAUAUAUAUAUAUAUAUAUAUAUUUGUGUGUGUGGAAAGAGAGAGUGCAGUUUUCUUAACCAGGAGGCUAAAGAUUAUUUGAAUUUUAGCCUUGAAGAGAGGAAAAAAGCAUUGACUUUGCAGUAGAUUUCUCAGUGCCUUUUCUUAAAAACUUCACCUAAGCACACUUACAGAAAAAAAAAAAAACAAACAAAAAACCCAAAACAAAAGAGUUUCCUGUGUAAUCCACAUUUUUCUGAAAGGUUUGAGAGUCAAAAAAAGGUAGAAGAAAGGAAAAAGAAAAAAAAAAGACACGAGAGAGGAAAAGAAAUCCAUGGAACGCACAUUCCCUUCCUGAACAUGCCGUGUGUCAAAUGCCGGGGAAUAUCUGCCUGGGCGAGCCAUGAGAAACACAUCUGAGGCGGUCAGGUUGUUUGGUAACUAUGGCUGUGAUAAACUGUAGCCUUUUCUUCCCUUGCAGCUAAUAAGAAACACAUUUCUAAGGAAAACCGUAUUCUCUUCUGUAAAAUUGUAAUGUAUUGUUAAUAUUUGUACCUACUGUAUAUUUAUGUCUUGACAGAAGGAUGGCCGUAGAGUUUAUAGUAAAUAACAAGGUUAUGUGCAACUCAUCACAAAGACGAGGUUUGUAAAGCCACGUUCUCUCUGCUGGUAAGCUCCACAGAACACCUGAUCCCAGAGCAAGCCCUGCAGCUGCUGAUGCAGCAGGGGCCAGGCAUUCCCUGUGUUUGUGGCCAGGCAUCAGGGCUUCCCUGGGGCUCCGAGCCAGCCCCUCCCCGCUGGGCCAUCACUCCUGCACAGAACAAGUGCUACCUGGGCUUCAUUUGGAUCACCCAGCUGGGGAGAAUAUGGCUUUGAAUAGUUCUUGAAUAAAGUACAGAUGUUCUGGUUACCUCUGUACCUCCUGCUUGCCAUUGUGUGGGCUUUAUAAGUAUCUGAUGUAUGGAAAAGUCAUGUGACUUUCAUGCAUUCCAGAGUAGUCUAUUUUUCUGUUCAGAUUUUAAAAAAAUUAUAUAUAUAUAAAUAUAUAUAUAUAAAUAUAAAUAUAUAUCUGUAUUUUUAGCAAAUUUAUAAUAGGGCAAUCAAGUCAGAUUUCUUCUUUUUGUAUUACAGAAUAAUAUAUUAGAUGCUCUCUCAGUGUUCAUUUACACAGCUGAUCCCCCAACCUUUUUGUUGUUAUUUUCUUUUUUUUCGGAUGAACACCUGCAACAUUCCUCCUGGAAGUGCAUCUGUGAAAGGUCAUGGGGUUUGUCUGAUGUUGUCAUGUUUUUGUAUUUUCCUGUUUGUGGUACUUUAACCAGGGACUGGCUGUGGGAACUGAGAUGUUCCUGCUGAGAAACGUGGAGCAGGCCAGACUGCCCUUGGUGACAGCAGGGAAAAGGUCACCCAACACCCCUGGCUGCAGUUUCUCCAGAUUUACAUCGAUUAAGCUGAGAACAGAAAGAAGAGACAGGUUUUGAAUCUAAUUGUCCUAAUAGUGACAUGAUGGAUUUGGUAUAAACAAAUCUAGGCUCUUAUUCAAGGCAGUGACCUGACAAAGCUCAGGCACCUUCAGAGAAGUUUUUCCUGGAUUAAAACAGAGUGUCCAGACUUUGAUUUCCCGCUGGGUUUUGGAAUUUUUAUUUUUGGUCCCAGAGAAAAUCAGGAAAUUAGUAAAAAUGGAGGAAUGAGAAACAAACAUUCAGGAAGAGACCAGAUUUUGAUUUAGUUAUGGUAAAAUCUGUCCAUGUACCUGAUUACAUAAUGAUGCUCUUUGCUCCUUUGUAGCUGAAUGCACAGCUAUAUUCAGAGAAAUUUUGUAAAAAGUCCCUGAGAUAAAUGUUCAUCCUAAAGCUAUCUCAUGGCCUGUUGAAGUUUAGCACGAUGAAGAGCUUCAGGGCCACUCCAGCUCUGCACAGACAUUUCUUUCUGAUUCGGCCCAGCAGUUUGGUCAGUGACCAUGCUUUUGCCAACAAUAGAGCUUUGGUUCCAUUUCCUUUUGUUUCUGAGAUUUUCUUACAUGUCCACCAUAAUGGACAAUAAACCUGAACCAGAUGUAAUUUGGAAAGGUGCUUCAGAAGGUAUCCUCAAAUGAAAGGAAUAAUAUGUAGAUGCAGUUUAGCAUGUGAUUAUCAGCAAGACUUGUUCACAAAUGAAGAUAUUAAAGUUGAGUGGGAUUUUUCUUUCUUAGGAAGCAAUUAAUGCAAUAGGCUGCCAUAUCUAUUGUCAGCAAUCACAUAAGUCUCUUCAAAAGGCACGGUCCAUAUCAGCAAGUUUGCUAGAGCAUAGUCAAGAAAACCACAAAAAGCUUCUAGUCAGACCACUCUUACCUUGCCCUCCCACACCAGGACAGGAGCGCCCACACUCCACCCAGCCCUCUGAAGAAGAGAUGUUUAUUUUUCAGCAUGCACCUCACACCCACGCUGAUCACAUUAGGCUCUUGCACUGAAACUGUGUCUCGGCCAGGCAAAGGAAACCUUAGGAAAAUGGGAAGUUUGCAUCCAGGACGUGCAUCCUGGUUGCUGCUGGUGUUACCUAAGCCACAAUAAGUGUCCUUUGACACCAAUGGUUGGGUGCCACAAGUGUUCAUAUCUGUAAAUACUACUCCAAAUUUUGCUUUGCUUGAUUCUGGCUUCAUUGCACAAGAAGUUUUCAGUCUUAGAGGCUUAGAAGAGAAAGCAAAACCUUCCUUCUUCCUUUUAACUAGUAGUAAUACUGUUGAUGCUCUGUAGGAUUGAACAAGGAUUAACCUUUAUUUUUAAAGGGGUCUUUCCAGGACUGCAGUGACACUACCUUUGAAAAUUAAUAAAAAGGCUGAACUCCACGCAAAGACCCCUCAAAACUAGAGCCUCAUGAAAGCCAGGAAGUCAAAUUUCUAUGAAAUGUCAAAUUCUUUGCUGCUGUAACAUAAAGCCCAUUGAGGCCAAUGGAGCUGUGCCCCCUUUAGAUCAGUAAAGAAUUUGGAGCCAUAUCUCUAAAAGCUAAUGGAAAAUUAAUAGCUUUGUACGGCCUCAGGGCUGGAGGUGUCUGCCCACAGCACUUCUCUGGAAACGGGGUGCGGGAGUGGGGAACAGAGGCCAGAGGGUGACAGUCACUGCAGACAGGACUGAGCAUCCCUCCAGGGCAGCUGGCUCUCUGGGGCUGGCAGGGCUGUGGCUGCAGCAGGGUCCCAGCCUCGGCCCGCAGCCCUUGCUGAAGCUGGGAGGACACUGCCAGCAGGUGGGCCAUGGGUCACUUUGAACUGUGGCACGAACUCUGGUCCUGUUGCUAAUCUGCACUUAAGAACAUUCAUCGUUCUUCUCUGCUCUGUAUUUUUCAUUUAGGAGCUCUGCCAUUUAUGACUCUUCUUCCUGUUAUGUUUUACUGCCUCCACAUACUGUUUGCCACACGUUGGCUCACAGAACCCCUGGGAUUUAUUUUGUUUAUGUCAGUUUUGUUGGCUUGUGAGGAACGGUUUUUUUUUCCCCCCAUUCUCUGGCUUUUUGGUGGUCAGUGUAGAAAAUCCCUUUUGCAUUGAACCAUUCCCCACUAAUGUGUUUGGGGGGGGAGGGUGGGGGACCAGCAUCUCCAUUUUACUUCGAAUUUUGAAGCCAUGAUACUGUACUCAGAAAGGCCAGCCACAGCUACCAACCAAACUUGCUUUCCAAGUAGAUUAGCAUUAAAAAACACACCCCCACUUUCUGCAGCAGAAUGCUGCUCUCUGAUCAGGCCAGUGAAGCAGUUUCGGAAAAGGGAGGAAACUUUGGCACGUCAGCGAGGCGAGCGCUGCUCGGCGAUGUCCCCGUGCCCGAUGUCCCCGUGCCCGAUGUCCCCGUGCCCGGCUGCCACCACGGCUGGGGCUGGGGACCAGCCCGGGUCCCCUCCAAUGCCCACGACCUGCCAAAGGCUUCCCAGGGACGUCCCCAAAGGGCAGCCACAGGCGCCCAUCGCCACUGCAGGGCAGGAAAGCUGUGGGGUCCUUUUUAAAAAGAAAGUGAUACUUAACGACAAAUAAAAACCAGAAAAUACGUUUCCUGUGGCUCUGCUGGUACAUUUAGAUCAAAUUGCUUCUAUAGCUGGAAACUGAACCUGGCUGUGCCCCAGCAAGGUCAGCCUGGGACCGGUUUCUCCGUUGCCUUGCACAGCGUUUUUUUGACCUGUGCAAUGGGGAAUCAGUGGGAACCCAGCUCAGCGUGGCUGUGAGGAAGGGCAGUGCUUGUGCCCAGCAGAUCCUGCAUGUCUUGCACAAUUUUUUCAUUGGGUUCUAUUGGAAUUCACUCAAUUAUAUUGGUCCAAUGCACCAGCAGAUGUUUUCUUCCCUUUUAAGAAAUGUUUCGAUGCCCUGGCAUAUGGGGUGAUUACAGCAACAUUAGCCAUAUACUAGUGUACUUAGAGUCUUACAUUUUUUGUAACUUUGAUUUAUUCAUUCUUUGUUGAAGUUUAUUGACCUCUCCAGUUGUUUCUGUAAAACAAAUUAUUAAAAAAAAAAUCCGUGUCUUUAUAUGCAUGUAAUAGUAUGAAACUGUGAUCAAUGUGUGACAUUCAGAAACUGUUCUGUCUUGUAAAAUAUGUCCAAAGGGUUUUAAAGCAAUGGUCCCUUACUACAGCCUACAGAAAUAAAUAAAAAG